AGGAUAAACGCUGGCGGCGUGCCUAACACAUGCAAGUCGAACGUCUCUUUCUUCGGGAAGAGGAGUGGCGGACGGGUGAGGAACACGUGGGAACCUGCCCUACAGUGAGGAAUACCGGCGAGAAAUCGCCGACAAGACCGCAUAGCCCUCUCUGGUGAGAGCCAGAGAAGGAAAGCUUCGCAAGAGGCGCUGGAGGAGGGGCCUGCGUCCGAUUAGCUAGUUGGUGGGGUAAGAGCCUACCAAGGCGUCGAUCGGUAGCUGGUCUGAGAGGACGAUCAGCCACACUGGGAUUGAGAACGGCCCAGACUCCUACGGGGGGCAGCAGUGAGGAAUUUUCGGCAAUGGGGGAAACCCUGACCGAGCAACGCCGCGUGCAGGAAGACGGCCUUCGGGUUGUAAACUGCUUUUCUUUGGGACGAGCGAAGGACGGUACCAGAGGAAUCAGCCCCGGCUCACUACGUGCCAGCAGCCGC
rnacentral:rRNA from 1 species